rnacentral:rRNA from 1 species
AAAGACUACCAAAGCUAAGAUCAGUAGCUGGUAUGAAAGUAUGUACAGCCGCACUAGAACUGAGACAAGGUCUAGACUUACAUUGUGAGGCAGCAGUCAAGAGUAUUUCCCAAUGAACGAAAGUUUGAGGAUGCCACGUUAAAUUUAACAAAAGUUAAAUAAAAAGAAGAUCUAUAAUGAAGGUUUAUUUUUACUAGAGCGGUCCAAGACAUGUGCCAGAAGACUCGGUUAUACAUGCCGCUCAGGUGUAGCUCUAUAACUAAAGGCGUAAAGGGUGUGUAGGUGGAUAUUAAAGUCUUAACUAUAAAUUUUAAAGAUUUAACUUUAAAAAUAUAUUAAGAAACUUCUUAUCUAGGGUUUUAUAGAGGAUAGCAGAAUUUCUAGUGUAUCGAUAAAAUGAGUAAAUAUUAGAAGGAAUACCAAAGGCGAAGGCAGCUAUCUGGGUAAUAACCGACAUUGAGACACGAAAGCUAGGGUAGCAAAUCCGAUUAGAGACCGGAGUAGUCCUAGCUGUAAACUUUGUACACUAAGUGUGAGUGAAAAUUCUCAUUCGUACUUUAGAUAACUCGUUAAGUGUACCGCCUGAAUACUACGAUCGCAAGAUUAAAACUCAAAUUAAUUGGCGGUUCUGGUGAUAGACGGAGGAGCAUGUGGUUUAAUGCGACGAUCCGCGCGAAACCUUACCUGAUCUAGUACAUUAUAUUAAUGUUCAGAUGCUGCAUGGCUGUCGUCAGUUCGUGCCUUGAAGUGUCAUGGUUAAUUCCAGCAAACGAACGUAACUCCUAUUUAAUAUU